GUGAGUUGUAAAAUUAAAAAAUGAGAGAGAGGGAUGGGCGUCUCCCUUUGCUGCAUCAUCACUUUUUUUCAUUUUUCUCUUAUUAUUUGUUUUAAACUAAUUAACUUUACCAAUACAUUUAAAAGGUCAACAUAUACUUUCUUUACAUUUAUUAUUAUUUUAUUUAAAUUUUUUUUUAUAAAAAUGACAACAAAAGGGGCAUCCCUCUAUCGCGACAAUAAAAAUACAUAAGUGCAUUGCAAGUUCGAAGAUACAAUAGAGUCACC
rnacentral:lncRNA from 1 species